CCUACGGGUGACAGCAGUGGGGAAUAUUGGGCAAUGGGCGCAAGCCUGACCCAGCAACGCCGCGUGAGGGAAGAAGGCUUUCGGGACGUAAACCUCUAUCGACAGGGAAGAGCAUAACACGGUACCUCUCGAAUACGCCACGGCUAACUACGUGACAGCAGCCGCGGUAAUACGUAGGUGGCAAGCGUUGCCCGUAUUUACUGGGUGUAAAGGGCGUGUAGCCGGGCGGACAAGUCAGGAGUGAAAUCCGGGGGCUCAACCCCCGAACUGCAUUGGAAACUGUGGGGCUUGAGUAUCGGAGAGGCAGGCGGAAUUCCUAGUGUAGCGGUGAAAUGCGUAGAUAUUAGGAGGAACACCAGCGGCGAAGGCGGCCUGUUGGACGACAACUGACGGUGAGGCGCGAAGGCGUGGGGAGCAAACAGGAUUAGAUACCCGAGUAGUC
rnacentral:rRNA from 1 species